AUUGAACGCUGGCGGCAGGCCUAACACAUGCAAGUCGAACGAGUGGCGGACGGGUGAGUAAUGUCUGGGACACUGCCCGAUGGAGGGGGAUAACUACUGGAAACGGUAGCUAAUACCGCAUACCAUCGGAUGUGCCCAGAUGGGAUUAGCUAGUAGGUGGGGUAAAGGCUCCACUAGGCGACGAUCCCUAGCUGGUCUGAGAGGAUGACCAGUCACACUGGAACUGAGACACGGUCCAGAAGCCUACGGGAGGCAGCAGUGGGGAAUAUGGCACAAUGGGCGCAAGCCUGAUGCAGCCAUGCCGCGUGUAUGAAGAAGGCCUGCGGGUUGUAAAGUACUUUCAGCGGGGAGGCGUUACCCGCAGAAGAAGCACCGGCGAACUCCGUGCCAGCCGCCGCGGUAAUUC
rnacentral:rRNA from 1 species